rnacentral:rRNA from 1 species
AUACCGCAUACGUCCUACGGGAGAAAGGGGGCUCCGGCUCCCGCUAUGGGAUGAGCCUAUGUCGGAUUAGCUAGUUGGUGAGGUAACGGCUCACCAAGGCCACGAUCCGUAGCUGGUCUGAGAGGAUGAUCAGCCACAUCGGGACUGAGACACGGCCCGAACUCCUACGGGAGGCAGCAGUGGGGAAUAUUGGACAAUGGGCGCAAGCCUGAUCCAGCCAUGCCGCGUGUGUGAAGAAGGCCCUCGGGUUGUAAAGCACUUUCAGCGAGGAAGAACGCCUAGCGGUUAAUACCCGCUAGGAAAGACAUCACUCGCAGAAGAAGCACCGGCUAACUCCGUGCCAGCAGCCGCGGUAAUACGGAGGGUGCAAGCGUUAAUCGGAAUUACUGGGCGUAAAGCGCGCGUAGGUGGCUUGAUAAGCCGGUUGUGAAAGCCCCGGGCUCAACCUGGGAACGGCAUCCGGAACUGUCAAGCUAGAGUGCAGGAGAGGAAGGUAGAAUUCCCGGUGUAGCGGUGAAAUGCGUAGAGAUCGGGAGGAAUACCAGUGGCGAAGGCGGCCUUCUGGACUGACACUGACACUGAGGUGCGAAAGCGUGGGUAGCAAACAGGAUUAGAUACCCUGGUAGUCCACGCCGUAAACGAUGUCGACCAGCCGUUGGGUGCCUAGCGCACUUUGUGGCGAAGUUAACGCGAUAAGUCGACCGCCUGGGGAGUACGGCCGCAAGGUUAAAACUCAAAUGAAUUGACGGGGGCCCGCACAAGCGGUGGAGCAUGUGGUUUAAUUCGAUGCAACGCGAAGAACCUUACCUACUCUUGGCAUCCUGCGAAUUUGGUAGAGAUACCUUAGUGCCUUCGGGAACGCAGAGACAGGUGCUGCAUGGCUGUCGUCAGCUCGUGUUGUGAAAUGUUGGGUUAAGUCCCGUAACGAGCGCAACCCUUGUCCUUAUUUGCCAGCGCGUAAUGGCGGGAACUCUAAGGAGACUGCCGGUGACAAACCGGAGGAAGGUGGGGACGACGUCAAGUCAUCAUGGCCCUUACGAGUAGGGCUACACACGUGCUACAAUGGUCGGUACAAAGGGUUGCCAACUCGCGAGAGUGAGCCAAUCCCGAAAAGCCGAUCUCAGUCCGGAUCGGAGUCUGCAACUCGACUCCGUGAAGUCGGAAUCGCUAGUAAUCGUGGAUCAGAAUGCCACGGUGAAUACGUUCCCGGGCCUUGUACACACCGCCC